UACGUAGGCAGCAAGCGUUGUUCGGAAUUACUGGGCGUAAAGAGUGUGUAGGCGGUGCUCUAAGUCUGUCGUGAAAUCUCCCGGCUUAACUGGGAGGGUGCGGCGGAAACUGGAAUGCUAGAGGGUGGGAGAGGAAAGCGGAAUUCCUGGUGUAGCGGUGAAAUGCGCAGAUAUCAGGAGGAACACCAAUGGCGAAGGCAGCUCGCUGGGACGGUACUGACGCUGAGACGCGAAAGCGUGGGGAGCAAACAGG
rnacentral:rRNA from 1 species